GACGAACGCUGGCGGCGUGCUUAACACAUGCAAGUCGAACGGAAAGGCCCUGCUUUUGUGGGGUGCUCGAGUGGCGAACGGGUGAGUAACACGUGAGUAACCUGCCCUUGACUUUGGGAUAACUUCAGGAAACUGGGGCUAAUACCGGAUAGGAGCUCCUGCUGCAUGGUGGGGGGUGGAAAGUUUCGGCGGUUGGGGAUGGACUCGCGGCUUAUCAGCUUGUUGGUGGGGUAGUGGCUUACCAAGGCUGUGACGGGUAGCCGGCCUGAGAGGGUGACCGGCCACAUUGGGACUGAGAUACGGCCCAGACUCCUACGGGAGGCAGCAGUGGGGAAUAUUGCACAAUGGGCGGAAGCCUGAUGCAGCAACGCCGCGUGCGGGAUGACGGCCUUCGGGUUGUAAACCGCUUUCGCCUGCGACGAAGCGUGAGUGACGGUAAUGGGUAAAGAAGCACCGGCUAACUACGUG
rnacentral:rRNA from 1 species